UUUUCACAAUAAGUACAUUUGGCUUCACUACAGAGAAGGAAACAAGAUUGAAGCAAAUUCAUGUGAAAAUUUGAACAGAAAUUAAUCUCGAUGGCAUCUCCUUCCAGGCAUGAUGAUGAAUCAGUAGCUGCCACAACUGUUUCAGUGAAGAGUUCCAGUAUUUCAGUGCUAUCCAAUGAGAAUAUGGAAGCAAGCAUGCAAAAGGAAGUGACAGGUCUGUGCCCAGGACUUCAGACUCUCUUUGGGGAAGGAAUGACCACUUUUCUCCCUACUAAGCCUGGAUACUUAUUCUCCAUUAAGACCAACAGCUGGAAAGAUUUCAGCUUGGAAAGUAUGUCCAUUUUUGUGCAUGUAAAACCAGUCUCCCUAUCUUUUUUUAAAAAAAAAGUUAAUUCUUUUAAUUCUCACAUAACUCAAAAGUGGCUGAACAGAUUUUGCUUAGACUUUCCAAAGAAAAAUCCAUCACUUGAGUUGGAUUCAAGCAAUGAAAAUUUCUGAAGAUGUCUUCCACAAAGUUUAGAACAUCUGAAAGUUCUAAUGGAAUGCUGAAUGCAACCUUACAGUAAGAUUAGCCUCAGAAAAGUGACCAUAAAAAUAGCCUUGUGCAGUUACAGGAUUAUUGUAUUCUUAAUGACAGGCACUGCUGACUCUUAAACCUGGCAUUUCUUCAGUGAUUGACUUUGCAUUCUUACUGUUCUUUCAAUUUGGGUUUUUUUGUUUGUUUUUGAUUUAAUAACAUAUAUUUUUAUGGGCAUUGUGAAAGAUGAUAACCAAUAGGUUAGUUCAAUGGUCCUUGACAUGUAGUCCAUGGAGCCAUGUCAGUCUUCAAAAAGUGAUAGGGUUUCCGGAGGCAUUUAUGGCCAACUAAACUUUAAAUAAAUCUUGAGUACCUCUCUGUACGCCAAGUACUAUAGUUGCAGCAUGAGAGGUGUAGGAUUAGGGUUUGGAGGUGGGGAGAGCAGUAUUUGUGGAAAGGGUCUCUGCCUGAAAAAGUGCUCCAUGAUAUGAAAAAAAAAACUCCUACGGAAUCACUAGGUUAGUUGUGGUUAGAUUGUACUGUAGCUGCAUACCUGCCAUAACUGUUGUGUUAGACAUCUUUUUCCACAAUAAUCAUCAGGCCAUAAAGUUCAAGAAUGAAUUCAAGUUUUCAAGUCCAAAAAGCAUAAUUUUCCUUACAAUAUUACAUUCAAAAAGCGUGACCAAGUGUUAUCACAAUCUGUCCUUGAUGC